CCCUGUCCAAUACCCCCUUCUCCGGCAGGUUUUUUUUUUGUCCCUGUCCAAUACCCCCUUCUCCAGCAGGUAUCUUUCAUUAUUUCUCAAGGCACAAUAGCUAUGGAUGACUAGAAUUUCUGUAAUUGUUCUUCUCUUAUUUCUUUUAUUCUUAUAGUUUCCAACUAAUUGCCUUAUAACAGUUGUUUCCAAACAUGGAAAUCCUGAUUUACUUGAUCUUCUAGGCAAACAAACAAACAAACAAACAAAAAAGUCUAGUUCUUGGAUAACUGACUCAUUAACAAUGAACAGUGUCUCAAGUCAGCCCUCUCAACCUCCCAUCUUCACAGCUGUGUCCUUGCUGUUAAGCCAGGCUUAUUGCCCAAAAUAGGAAUUGUCUGUUUGCCAAUAAAUAAAUAACUGUGGUAUUAACAAGUAUGCUAUAAACUCUAAUGCAAUGGUCUAUGAACUGGAGUUUGAGAACCAGUGCUUUAGGUGAAUUUUUAAAAACUUUUCUCAUAGAGACCUUUCCUCACUGAUAUAUAGAAUUUAGCUAGCAGGGUCUUCAUCAGCCAAUGCUGAAUGCAUUAGAGCUUUUAACUUAGAAAAUGGAGGAAAAAUAUUCCAGAAUAAGAUAAUAUAAGAAACCUUUUACUUGGGCCGUCUUGUCAUGAGAAUGCCAUGGUGGUGGGUGUGGGCAUAGCUUGAAGGGGGAUAUAGAAGAAAUUAGAGUCUUACAGAACUGUGGCUUAUAAUUGUGGAAGUUUUCCUCUUUGAGUUCAGCUCUGACUGAGACAUUGCCUAACUCCCAAGGCAUGCUGACUUCCACAUAGUCAAUGACAUUGUGUGGGUGUGUGAUUUUGAAAGCUAGUGUUUUCCUCAGUAUCUACAAAGAUGAUGGCUACUAAAACAGAAAAAGUGACCUAGAAUAAAGAACAUCGCAGAUAGCAUGUAGGGCCAUCAUAGGGGCCCUCUAAAUUUGGAGAUAAAAAUCAGUGACUGAUAAUAAAAAUGGAAAAAUGACAAAGAUAUGAUCUCUGUACAAAAGAAUAAUUUUUAAGUGUAUUGCUUAGGAGACUAGAAUAGUCUGAUGCUAUCUAGGAUUUAUUCUCAGGACCGGGACACAAUGAAGAGGGAAGUACCAAAAUCACUUGUGCUAUAUGAUUAUAUAAGGCUGUGUUAAAUGGAGCAUUGUUCUUACGUGGAGCAUAGGAAAAUUUGAAUCUUGAAGUAUACAAAUAUUUCUCUUUGUCCCUGUCAUAUGCAGGGGUAUGGUUCCUAAAAAGACAGCAUGGUGAGUCCAGUGGCUUCCUUGUCAAUUUUACCCCAUGGUAGAGAUGGGUACAUUAGGCUAUCAGAGCUUAAUAGCUCCAUACAAUAGAAAAUUCCCAGAUAACUCAAUUUUCUCUGAUUCAGGGUCUACCAAAUGACCUACUUAAAGUAAUUGUCAUUCCACUUACAUUUUCUGAUAGGAGAUGAAAGGUUCUGAUCAGAUGAAAAGGAUCAUUUGGCCCACUUGGCUGUUAUCAUCACAAGUAUUGAGAAAUAACUUUCUACUCAAGUUUAUCAGUCUUUUGUGACUUUUGGUUAUCGUGAAUUAGUCUUCAGUUGCACUGAAAACAAACAAACAAACAAACAAACAAAAAAACCAAAAUGUUGCUGAACCAAAAAACAGAACCAUGUCUUGACGUUUGCUGAAACUCUUAAGGUAUGCUCCCUGUCGGUUUUUGUCCUGAACAGUUGAGAAGCCUAGACUUUUGAUUUGAGAGUGCAUCCUGGGUUUGCUAUAAUCUAAUAAUAAUUAUAUUACUGAUGCAAAUAAUAAUAAUACCAAUAAAUAUUAUCUUACAACUACCUCACACUUAAAACUGAUCAAUCCUGGACUGAGUGCCUUGUACACAUUUUCUUACUUAGUCCUCAUGAGACUCUAUGAACUAGACACUGUAGAAAUCCAAUAUUCAGAUGAGGAAAGGGAAGCUUAGUGAGAUUAAGUAACUUGCCUUAAUGCCAUAUAGCUAGAGAGUGAUGGAACUCUGACUUGCUUAUUUCACCUAGAAAAAGUUAUAUCAACUUAACUAAAAAUCUAAAACUUAGUACUCAGCAUCAAUUUAUCUAUAAUGCUCAUGGAUUUUCCCAACUUUGUGUUAGUUUAGUCCUCAGGCUGGCUUCUAUCACAACAGUAAAAUAAUUGUCAGGAGCUUCAAGGGGCUACAAGUCUGGGUCACUUCCAAUGAGAAUGGAGACUCUCUUCCGGGAGUUCUUUUAGACUAGUGAAGAAGCUUCUUUUCCAGAUAUCCUCAGCAAAUGUCUCAUUGCCCCCAGUUGAGUGAUGUGUCAAGGCCUGAAUACAUUUCUAUAACCACGGAGAUUAACUCAAUCAGGGUUAAGCCAGAGGUACAGUUAGCAUCUCUUAAGCCACAAGAAUUCUAGCUACAUGCUAGAAAGACAACAAUAGUUAUAUACCACACACAUUUAUAGGUAUAAAAUCUUGUUUCAACAGUGUUAUUUAAUGAAUAUUUAGGCUGGAGUCCUUCCCUCAAUAGAACAAUGUAAUUUAUGAAAAAAUCAAUUAUUUAAAGAAGGACAUUUUAUGAGGUUGAAUAGCAUCCUCCCUUUUCUCCCCAAAUUUAUGUCCACUCAGAACCUGAGAAUGUAACAUUAUUUGGAAAUAGAGUCUUGGCAGAUGUAAUUAGUUAAGAUGAGGCCAUUCUGGGUUAGGGUGGCUCCAAAUCCAAUGAGUGGUGCCCUUGUAAGCAGGCCAUGUGAACACACAGAUACACAGAGAAACACAGAGGGAAGAAGGCUUGUGAAGAUGGUGGCAGAGAUUGGACUUAUACUGCCUCAAGCCAAGGAACAUCAGAAGCCACCAGAAUCUUGAAGAGGCAAGGAAUAAUCUUCCCCUGAAGACUUAGAUGAGAGCAUGACCCUGUCAGAACUUGAUUUUUGUAACCUUCAAAGCUACAAAGAAUACAUUUCUAUUUUUUAUAGUCCACCCAGUUUGUGGUACUUUGUUAUAACAGCUCUAGGAACCUAAUACAGAUACCAUGGACAGAUCUAUCUGACAGAUAUGCAAUGGGAGAAUAUAUCUGAAGUUUAAAACUGACAAACACAACAAAUCAAUAAGAAAAAACUAAAUAAGCAAAAAAAAUGGAUAAAAGAUUUAAAACAGGCAAUUUAUAUAAAAUGAAACUAAAUCAAAUACCUGGAGAUGCUCAAAAUAAUUAUCAAUCAGAAGUGCAAGUUAAAAUAUCACUUUUCACUGAUUAGCCUAGCCAUAAUUUAAAAAGAUAGAUGUGUCAACUCUUGAUUGAUAUUUGAGGAUACAAGAACCCAUAUGUCUUGUGGAGGGAGUGUAGACUGAGCCAGCCAUUCAGAGAGCAAUGUGGCAAUCUUCACUGAAAUUAAGUAUAUGCAUACACUUUGACCUAUCGAUUCUGCCACCGAAUGUAUAAGCCAAAGAAGUUCUUACAUAAGAUCAUAAGGGGACAUCUGUGAAUGGAAAUGUUAUUGCAAUAUUAUUGUUGUUGGUCAGAGUUGGAAGCAACCUGGGUGUCUAUCAUGGAGAGAGUAGAUAGGUGCUAUGGACUGAAUGUUUGUGUCCCUCCAAAAUUUAUGUCUUAAAAUCUUAACCAGCAAUAUGGUGGUAUUAGAAGGUGGGGCUUUUGUGAGAUAAUUAGGUCAGGAGGGUACUAGUGACUUCAUUAAGCAGACUUCAGAGAGCUUUCUGGCUCACCUUCCACCAUAUAAAAACACAAAGAGAAAUUGGAGGUCUGCAACAUGAACGAGAACUUCACCAGAACCUAACCAUGCUACCACCCUAAUCUCUCACUUCCAGCUUCCAGACCUAGGAGAAAUCAGUGUUUUUUGUUCAAGUCAUCCAGUCUAUGGUACUUUAUUAUAGUGACCUGGACUAACUAAAACAAUGGAUAAAGUGUGAUGAUUGUACAUCAUGGUAACUUACCAUGUAGCAAUUAGAAACAAUGAAUUAGAAACACAACAAUGAAUGGAUAUUAAAAAGAUGCCUGUGAAAAAGAAAGGAACAUAAUGAAAUAUAUCACACAGUAUUACUUAUUUAAUUAAUAAUAGCUUUCCACUAAUCAGAGCACAUUUUACAAGAACACAUAAAAAAGGAUUCACUAAACACAACAGAAUGAUCACCUAUUAAAAUGGUGGGUAUAGCUAAGAAGGAAAUAAGAAAAGGCCUUACAUGGAUCAAUAGUAAUGUAUAAUAAAAUAAGAAGCAAGAUUUACUUAACUCUAUUUACUUAAGAUAUAAAAACACAAAGUUCACUUUAUAAAAAUUGGUCACCAAAUUAUAAUUGACUUUUGAAUAGCAUGGAGAAUAGGGGCACUGACACCUCGAGCAGUUGCAAAUCCAUGUAUAAAUUGACACCCACCAAACUUAACUACCAAUUGCCUACUGUUGACUUGAAGCCUUACCAGUACCAUAAAGAGUUAACACACAAUUUUGUGUGAUAUAUGUAUUAUGUACUGUAUUCAUACAGUAAAACAAGGUAGAAAAAGGAAAAUGUUAUUAAGAAAAUUACAAGGAACAGAACGUAUUUUACUAUUCAUUUAGUGGAAGUGAAUAAUCAUAAAGGUCUUCAUUGUCAUUGUCUUCGUGUUGAGUAGGCUGAGGAGGAAGCAGAGGAGGGUUGGUCUGGCUGUCUCAGGGGUAGCAGAGGCAGAAUAAAAUCUGCAUAUAAAUGGACCCACAGAGUUCAAACCUUUGGUGUUCAAGGAUCAACUCUACUAGGCAUUUUUAUUUUUAUUUUAUUGCCAUUGUUCAUUUUUUUUGAAAAGAUAUUUAGAACUGAGCUCAGUGUAUAAUAAAAAGCAAUGCACAUUUUUACCUUAUUCCAGGGUUCAAAUAUCGUUUUUGGUUUUCCCUUUUCUCUGUUGUUCUCAGUCUCCUUUACUUUUCAUCUUCUGUCACCCCUACUUCUUAAAUGUUAAUAUUCCUCAGGAUUCCAUUCUUGGUCCUUAUUUCUUUGUUCUACAAAUAUUUCCUGGGAAUUUGAGUCGUGUCUAUGACAUCUAUCUACCUCUAGCUUCCAUCUUUCCCAGGAUUACUGAUCUGCAAUAUCUCUUAUGUACUCUAAUCUCAGCAGGUGUGAUAUUGAACCCAUUUUCUCUUUGUCUUUGCCCCACAAAUGUGGUCUUUUAAAAUGAUAUUAUCUCAAUAUCUCAAGCUAAUUUGAAAAACGUCUUAGAGUUGCCUCUUUUUCGCACUCCAUAUAUCAAAUCCUAUUUAUUGUACUUCAGAAAUACCACUAAACCCAGCUUCUCUUAGUAUCUUUAUAGCCACAGAAGGUCACUGAAAGGCUUUAAGCACAAAAGUGGUACAGGUAGAAUUGUUUCAAGAAUGAUUACUAUGCUUGCAGCAAGAGGAAUCUGUUGAAAAGUUGGAAGUACAGAGACAGGCUGGGAGUUAUUAAUGAAAUCCAGGAAAGAGACUAUGGAUGCUUGAACUAAGGUGAUGGCAGUGGAGACACAGGAAAAUUAAUUCAUUUCAUAGAUAAGUUAGUAAUGGACUUGAUAUGAGUGGUGCUGAAGCUAGGAAGAGCUGUGAAGGGUGAGUCUCAAGUUUCUGUCAUAGCAACUGGGAGAUUAUUGUGCAAUUUUCUAAAGAGAAUCGGGAAGGAGUAAUGGUUGCUUGAGGGAAAGAUUGUAUGCCUGCAGUCAUGGAUAUGUUAUAUUGAAGGAAUUUUGGCAUAAAACUAAAAGUGUUUAUAAAUAAAUUGUAUAAAUAGAUCCAAUUAGAAGAACUGAGGUCCAGGCUAUUGAUGCAAAUUUGAAAGUGGUUAGAGUAUUGACGCAAUUGAUGCCAUGGGGGAUGGAGCACCCAUGAAGAAAGUGGAGUGUAGGGCACAGUUCUGAACAACACUUGCAUUUAAUGAUUGGUAGAGGAGAAGUCAUUCGCAAAAGAGACAGUGAAUGAAAUACAUUACAGAGCAAAGCCAGAGGAAAGAGAGGAAAUAGUGCUUCAAGUCUGCAAGCAUGUCCAGGAAUGUCAAAUGUUGUUGAAGGGUAGCAGGAUGAGUGCUGAAAUGAGGUCCAUGGGAUUUGCCACUUAUGGGUCACUUGAGUGAAGCUGGAUGGAUAGAAUUUGGGUAUAGGACUGAGAGGGAGGUGAGAUAAUGGUGGCAGCAAGUGUAGACAACAUUCAGGAAGUUUGGAUAAGGAAAGGGGGGAAUAUAUAUAAAAGGUAGUUGGAAGGUUAUGUAGGAUCCAAGGAGUGUUUUUGUUUCAUUUUGUUUUGUUUUAAAGAUGUGAAGCGAGCUGUUUAAAAUGCUUAUGGGUAGAAUAACCUAGGGACUUUUUUUUUUUAAUCUAAGAAUUUGAUUGCUACUUACGUUUCCAUGUAGUAUGAUAAUAAUACACUUACAAGUAAAACUCUGCCAGUAGAUGUUGAUUCCCUUGAAAGGAGGGAUGAUGUCUUCUUUGCUUUUUGUUAUUCUCAUUGCUUAGCACCAAUUCAUACCCAUUAUAUACAGUCAAUAAAUAUUAUUAAAAAAUAAUCCUUGAGUCUAACCAGUUCCAAUUAGUGAUCAGCUCAUCACUUUUCCAAUGAGCCUCUAAUGUGAAUGAAAACAAGUGAGACACACUGGUAAUUAUUACAUUAAAUUAACUGAUAUCACAGUUGUUAGUUUAAAAUAAAGCAUACUUCUUUUAAGGUAUUAGUUUCUUCGAAUGUGAGAGAACCUUUUCAUUAUACCGGUAGAGUUCCUUCUUUUACCUGUGAAAAUAAGUAAACU
rnacentral:lncRNA from 1 species